rnacentral:rRNA from 1 species
UGGGGAAUAUUGGACAAUGGGCGCAAGCCUGAUCCAGCAAUGCCGCGUGAGUGAUGAAGGCCUUAGGGUUGUAAAGCUCUUUCGCACGCGACGAUGAUGACGGUAGCGUGAGAAGAAGCCCCGGCUAACUUCGUGCCAGCAGCCGCGGUAAUACGAAGGGGGCUAGCGUUGUUCGGAAUUACUGGGCGUAAAGGGCGCGUAGGCGGCCUGUUUAGUCAGAAGUGAAAGCCCCGGGCUCAACCUGGGAAUAGCUUUUGAUACUGGCAGGCUUGAGUUCCGGAGAGGAUGGGGGAAUUCCCAGUGUAGAGGUGAAAUUCGUAGAUAUUGGGAAGAACACCGGUGGCGAAGGCGGCCAUCUGGACGGACACUGACGCUGAGGCGCGAAAGCGUGGGGAGCAAACA